CCCCUAGAUGUUCUGGGCCGCACGCGCGCUACACUGAACAGUUCAACAAGUCUUAACCUUGGCCGAUAGGUCUGGGUAAUCUUUGAACGCUGUUCGUGAUUGGGAUAGACCUUUGCAAUUAUGGGUCUUCAACGAGGAAUUCCUAGUAAACGCAAGUCAUCAGCUUGUAUUGAUUACGUCCCUGCCCUUUGUACACACCGCCCGUCGCACCUACCGAUUGAAUGGUCCGGUGAAAUCUCGGGACGGCGGCUUGGUCGCUUGCGUCCGACUGCUGAAACUUGAUUAAACCAUAUCAUUUAGAGGAAGGUGAAGUCGUANCA
rnacentral:rRNA from 1 species